AGUCAACGCUGGCGGUAGGCCUAACACAUGCAAGUCGAACGGCAGCACAGUAAGAGCUUGCUCUUACGGGUGGCGAGUGGCGGACGGGUGGGGAAUACAUCGGAAUCUACUUUUUCGUGGGGGAUAACGUAGGGAAACUUACGCUAAUACCGCAUACGACCUACGGGUGAAAGCAGGGGAUCUUCGGACCUUGCGCGAUUGAAUGAGCCGAUGUCGGAUUAGCUAGUUGGCGGGGUAAAGGCCCACCAAGGCGACGAUCCGUAGCUGGUCUGAGAGGAUGAUCAGCCACACUGGAACUGAGACACGGUCCAGACUCCUACGGGAGGCAGCAGUGGGGAAUAUUGGACAAUGGGCGCAAGCCUGAUCCAGCCAUACCGCGUGGGUGAAGAAGGCCUUCGGGUUGUAAAGCCCUUUUGUUGGGAAAGAAAAGCAGCAGGUUAAUACCCCGCUGUUCUGACGGUACCCAAAGAAUAAGCACCGGCUAACUUCGUG
rnacentral:rRNA from 1 species